GACGAACGCUGGCGGCGUGCUUAACACAUGCAAGUCGAACGGAAAGGCCCUGCUUUUGUGGGGUGCUCGAGUGGCGAACGGGUGAGUAACACGUGAGUAACCUGCCCUUGACUUUGGGAUAACUGCAGGAAACUGGGGCUAAUACCGGAUAGGAGCUCCUGCUGCAGGGUGGGGGGUGGAAAGUUUCGGCGGUUGGGGAUGGACUCGCGGCUUAUCAGCUUGUUGGUGGGGUAGUGGCUUACCAAGGCUUUGACGGGUAGCCGGCCUGAGAGGGUGACCGGCCACAUUGGGACUGAGAUACGGCCCAGACUCCUACGGGAGGCAGCAGUGGGGAAUAUUGCACAAUGGGCGGAAGCCUGAUGCAGCGACGCCGCGUGCGGGAUGACGGCCUUCGGGUUGUAAACCGCUUUCGCCUGUGACGAAGCGUGAGUGACGGUAAUGGGUAAAGAAGCACCGGCUAACUACGUG
rnacentral:rRNA from 1 species